rnacentral:tRNA from 1 species
GCGUCCGUGGUGUAAUGGCUGCAUCCAAGCUUCCCAAGCUUGUGGUUCGGGUUCAAUUCCCGGCGGGCGCA